UGCAUAAGUUGAGUAGAAGUUAGAGGGUACACCAUACUCCAAUUCGUCACAGCUGAUAUUCUGGGGAUUUUUUUUGAACAAGUGCAUAUGAAAAAAGAAAAUACAUAAAAGGGAUAAAUUAGGAACAUAAUACUAAAUAUGAGUGAAUUUGGCCAGCCUUUAAAGGUCAAAUAGCUAGUCAGUAGUAAUUUUUUUUUAUACAUAAAG
rnacentral:misc_RNA from 1 species